rnacentral:rRNA from 1 species
AUGAACGCUAGCGACAGGCCUAACACAUGCAAGUCGAGGGGCAGCACAAGGAGCAAUCUGAGGUGGCGACCGGCGCACGGGUGAGUAACACGUAUGCAACCUGCCUGUAAGCGGGGAAUAACCCGUUGAAAGACGGACUAAUACCGCAUAAUACUAAAUUACUGCAUGGUAAUUUAUUUAAACAUUUAUGGCUUACAGAUGGGCAUGCGCAUGAUUAGCUAGUUGGAGAGGUAACGGCUCCCCAAGGCAACGAUCAUUAGGGGUUCUGAGAGGAAGGUCCCCCACACUGGUACUGAGACACGGACCAGACUCCUACGGGAGGCAGCAGUGAGGAAUAUUGGUCAAUGGACGAGAGUCUGAACCAGCCAAGUCGCGUGCAGGAAGAAUGUCCUAAUGGAUUGUAAACUGCUUUUGCAGGGGGAAUAAAGUGCAUCACGUGUGAUGUUUUGUAUGUACUCUGCGAAUAAGGAUCGGCUAACUCCGUGCCAGCAGCCGC